rnacentral:tRNA from 1 species
UCCUUGGUAGCUCAGCAGGUAGAGCAAAUGGCUGUUAACCAUUGGGUCGUUGGUUCAAUCCCAACUUAAGGA